rnacentral:lncRNA from 1 species
UUAGUGAUCCCACUGAUUCAUCUAGAGACUUUUCUUCAUGCUUGUAAUGUCCACUUUCUCCAUAUCCUUCAUUUCCUUCGUUGGGGCCAUCGCUAUAUUGUGAAAGCACAGCUGCAAAAUUAUCUUCAUUAACGGAGUCCUCAGGUUCUAGAGGAGAACAUGAUUCUUUAUCAUGAAUUAGAGGACUUGAAUCCAUGAACUCAGAAUCAAUAACGCCAAUGUUAAGUGAUCCCACUGAUUCAUCUAGAGAGUUUUCUCCAUGCUUACCACAUCCACUUUCUCCAUAGGCUUCACUUUCUUUGUUGGGGGCAUCGUUAAAUUGUGAAAGCACAGCUGUAAAAUUAUCUUCAUUAACGGAGUCCUCAGGUUCUAGAGGAGAACAUGAUUCUUUAUCAUGAAUUAGAGGACUUGAAUCCAUGAACUCAGAAUCAACAAUGCCAAUGUUAAGUGAUCCCACUGAUUCAACUAGAGAUUUUUCUCCAUGCUUACCACAUCCACUUUCUCCAUAGCCUUCACUUUCUUUGUUGGGGGCAUCGUUAAAUUGUGAAAGCACAGCUGUAAAAUUAUCUUCAUUAACGGAGCCCUCAGGUUCUAGAGGAAAACAUGAUUCUUUAUCAUGAAUUAGAGGACUUGAAUCCAUGAACUCAGAAUCAAUAAUGCCAAUGUUAAGUGAUCCCACUGAUUCAGCUAGAGAUUUUUCUCCAUGCUUGCCACGUCCACUUUCUCCAUAGCCUUCGCUUUCUUUGUUGGGGGCAUCAUUAAAUUGUGAAAGCACAGCUGCAAAAUUAUCUUCAUUAACUGAGUCCUCAGGUUCUAGAGGAGAACAUGAUUCUUUAUCAUGAAUUAGAGGACUUGAAUCCAUGAACUCAGAAUCAACAAUGCCAAUGUUAAGUGAUCCCACUGAUUCAACUAGAGAUUUUUCUCCAUGCUUACCACAUCCACUUUCUCCAUAGCCUUCACUUUCUUUGUUGGGGGCAUCGUUAAACUGUGAAAGCACAGCUGUAAAAUUAUCUUCAUUAACGGAGCCCUCAGGUUCUAGAGGAGAACAUGAUUCUUUAUCAUGAAUUAGAGGACUUGAAUCCAUGAACUCAGAGUCAACAAUGCCAAUGUUAAGUGAUCCCACUGAUUCAGCUAGAGAUUUUUCUCCAUGCUUGCCACGUCCACUUUCUCCAUAGCCUUUGCUUUCUUUGUUGGGAGCAUCAUUAAAUUUUGAAAGAACAGCUGCAAAAUUAUCUUCAUUAACUGAGUCCUCAGGUUCUAGGAGAGAACAUGAUUCUUUAUCAUGAAUUAGAGGAGUUGAAUCCAUGAACUCAAAAUCAAUAAUGCCAAUGUUAAGUGAUCCCACUGAUUCAGCUAGAGAUUUUUCUCCAUGCUUGCCACAUCCACUUUCUCCAUAGCCUUCACUU